rnacentral:rRNA from 1 species
ACUGAAAAGGAAUAUAUAGUAGUGUUAUUUUUAUAAAAGAAUUUAGAGUACCUUUUGUAUUAGGGGGUUUCAAAUUUAAUUAAUUAUUUAAAUUUUUCGAAGUAAUAAGAUCUAGGGUAUUUUUUUUUAUUGUAAAAUAAAUAAGUUAAAAAGUAUUUUUGUUAUGAAAUGUAAUUCGGUUAUUAUAUAUCUAAUUUUUUAAGAGUUUAAUUUAGUUAAAAUAUAUUUGUUGUAUUUAGUUUAUUAAGGAUAAUCUUAAUGAUAAGGUAUAUUAAGUUAUUUUUCUUUAUUUUUUAGGCUUUAAGGUUGUCAAAUAAAUGUGUUUUAACAGAUUAUAGUAGAAGCUUAAUUUUGGUAUAAUUAUUUUUUAUUAAAAUAUAUUUAUAAUAUAUAGUUUUUAUAAAUAAUGAUUACAUUAGUAUAAGUGGUAAAUUAAAAAAUUUUUUUAGUUUAUAAUUAUUUUUUAAUAAUUAAGCAAAUAAGCGCUCGCCUGUUUAUCAAAAACAUGGUUUUUUGACUAUAAAAAAUUUGGCCUGCUCAAUGAAAUUUAAAUAGCUGCAGUAAUUUAACUGUACAAAGGUAGCAUAAUCAUUAGUCUUUUAAUUGUUGGCUGGAAUGAAUGGUUUUACGGAGUGUUUACUUUUUUAAAAAUAUUAAUUGAAUUUUAUAAUUUAGUGAAAAAGCUAAGAUAUGGAUAAGGGACGAUAAGACCCUAUAGAGCUAAUUAUUUAAUAGAUUUUUAUUUUAGGUGAAUUAAUUAUUUGUUAAGUAAGAUUACUGGGGCGGUAUAGUUUUUUCAAAUUAUUUGAUAGUUAUUGAUCAUAUUAAUAAAAUUAGUGAAAGUUACCUUAGGGAUAACAGUAUAAUUAUUUUUGAGAGUACAAAUUGACAAAAUAGUUUAUAACCUCGAUGUUGAAUUAAAAUUUAUUAUUAGUGAAGAAGCUAGUAAAAUAGGUCUGUUCGACCAAUAAAAUUUUACAUGAUUUGAGUUCAGACCGGCGUGAGCCAGGUCAGUUUCUAUCUUUAUAGAUGAUUAGUUUAUUUUAGUACGAAAGGACCAAAUAAUAAUAAUUUUUAUUAGGUUAAUAGAAU